rnacentral:lncRNA from 1 species
AUUAGCAGAAAUAACCAUAGAUAAGUAAUAACGAGCACCGAGCAGUAAAUAACCAAACAAGUGAAUAAAUUUGCAGAGGCUACUUUAGCAAAAUGUCGAUUUUAUCUACAUUAAAUAACGCAAUUUUUAAAAGAACAUCGACUUUUGCUUUAGUUGUAGUAGGCUCGGUUUUUUUCUUUGAACGUGCGUUUGAUGUUGUAGCCGAUUCGAUUUUUGAUAAAAUCAAUGAAGGGAAACUUUGGAAACACAUUAAACACAACUAUGAAAAGUAAAUAGUAUAUGAAUGAUGUAAUGAAUGUAGAUAUAAUUUUAUGUACUUUUAUUUGUACAAAUAAACACUAAGUCAUAAAGA